AAAUCCGUCGACUUUAGAAUCUUGGGGGGGUUAAGUCCCUUUAUCCCC
rnacentral:tRNA from 1 species